UAUGUAUCCUAGGACUUUUCGUUCGACUAGGGUGAGAAAGGCUACUGCGAGGAGGAUUGGAAUAAUGUAAAG
rnacentral:tRNA from 1 species